UACGGAGGGCGCGAGCGUUAAUCGGAAUUACUGGGCGUAAAGCGCGCGUAGGCUGUUGUGUAAGUUGGGGGUGAAAUCCCACGGCUCAACCGUGGAACAGCCCUUGAUACUGCGCGACUUGAAUCCGGGAGAGGGUGGCGGAAUUCCAGGUGUAGGAGUGAAAUCCGUAGAUAUCUGGAGGAACUUCAGUGGCGAAGGCGGCCACCUGGACCGGUAUUGACGCUGAGGCGCGAAAGCGUGGGGAGCAAACAGG
rnacentral:rRNA from 1 species